rnacentral:rRNA from 1 species
GAGCUACGCUGGCGGCAUGCCUACACGAUGCAAGUUGAACGGAGCUUCACCCAUUCAAGCUUAAGGUAGCGGACGGGUGAUGACUGCGUAAGAACCUACCUUUAGGACGCAGGAAUAACUAUUGGAAAGCGAUAGACUAAGUACCUCAUAACACUGUGGAGUAAAAGGUGAAAAGCCUGCUAAGAGAUGGGCUUGCGUCAUGAUUAGCUUGAUUGGUAAUUUAAAAGGUUUACCAAGGCAACGAUCAGUAGUUGGUCUAAGAGGAUGAUCAAGCCACACUGGGACUGAGACACGGCCCACACCUCUACGAGAGCGGCAGCAGUGAGGAAUUUUCCGCAAUGGGCGAAAGCCUGACGGAGCAAUGCCGCGUGCGAGCGAUGAAGGCUAUGUAGAGGUCGUAAACUCCUUUUCUUAGCGAAGAAACAAGACAGCGUAACUAAGGAAUAAGCAUCGGACUAACUCCGUGCCCAGCAAGCCGCGGUAACUACGGAGGAUGCAAGCGUUAAUUCCGGAAGUUACUUGGGCGUAAAGCGUCAUGUAGGUUGCUAUAUUAUAAGGUCCUACAUGUUAAAGUGUUAAGAGCCUUAAACUUAAAACAGCGGUAUGACACUUAAAAACGCUUGAGUUUAGAACCAGGUACACGGGAAUUCUCGGGUGUACAUGGUGAAAUGCGUAGAAGAAUCGCAAGAACGA